AGCUCUUCACCGCUGCCACCCCCGCUUGCCUGGCCGGCCAGCUGGCCGCCAUCUGAUUUGCAAUCAGGGUUUCACGGAGAGGAGAGCCACAACCGGAGAGGAGAGCCACAACCGUGUGACCAUCUCUGCACCCACUAUUUUUAAAAAGCAGGGCAUGGAAAGCAGGUGACUUGAGAAUGCUCUUGUACAAUUUAAGCCUUGCAAAAGCAGCCUGACCCAGAAAGCACACCGGACACAUGGCCUCAAAUGCCCUUUGAGGCGGGCCAAGCUCUCCCUUGGCUCAGCUUCCAUCUUUGCAAGAAAGAAAACAAAAUAGGCAGACAUAAAACUAAGAAGCAGAAUGCAGCAAAAUUCCAACUAAAAUGUCAUCUACAAAUGAAAGCAGCAGUAUCAGAGCUGGGCUCAGAGGCAAACAGACUACCUCUUGGAAGCUCUUCCAGAAGAGGCGCAGUAUGGGCCACCAAUCAAAAUUCUGGCAGCCAAACUCUGUCCUGGCAGAAUUCAUACCUGACUACGACUUCUAGGCUUCCACCUCACCUUUGGCUUCACCUUCGGCCCCCGUCUUGGGCAGGGACAGUCACCAGGAAGAGGUGCUAAGCAUUAUGAACACAGGAAGCUGCCUUAUCCCGAGUCAGACCAUUGCUCCAUCUAGCUCAGUAUCACCUACACUAACCGGCAGCAGCACUUCAGGGUUUCCCAGUCCUAACCUGGAGACACCAGGGAUUGAACCUGGGACAAAGCAAAUACGCUAACCACUGAGAGACGGCCCUUCCCUUUCAGGGAGAAGAUCGCCUGAAGACACUGCACAACUGUAUUUCCCUAGAUAUGAGAUGAAAAAUUGACAACUUUGACAUUUUGAGUUUUCACUAACCCCUUUUAGGGGAGAAAACAUUAAAUCACACGUGCCAGUCUGGACACUUGCAGGCAUGUACAUACAUACCCCAAAGGCGGAAAGACAUUCUGAACUUAACGCAGAUGUGUUUUACUUGGAUUUCAAGAGGAAGAUUUCUACCAGAGAAUAUAACAUGUGAAAGUUUUCAUUGAAAAUAUCCCCCCCCCAAAUUCACAUCUACUCUACUAAACCCGAAUAACUGAAAUGAAUAAAGUUAAAAUGGGGUACACACAAAAAUAAGGGGGGGAAACCAUUCCUUUAAAAGUGAAAAUAAUUUAAUGAUUUUUCUCCCUUGAGCCAUGGAAGGAAUUUUAAAAUGAUUUCAGAGUCUCAACAUUAUUUCCAUAUAAUGUAUUAGAAGCCAGUAUUUUACAAAUGCAAUAAUCAUCACCACAACAACUAAAGAUUUCUCUGAAAAACUUGCUAACCCUUUGCAUCAUACAAGGGAGGAACCCUCCACCCACAAAGAAAACAAAUGAUUUAUUUUAUUUGACUGAAAUGUGCAGUUACUCCAAACUUGUAGAUUCCAAUUAAAGCAAACUAUGAUUGCAUCCCUUGCUUAAAACUUAGCCCUGACAGUAAACUGCUGAAGUUAGUCCUGGCUAUGGCUGCAGUCCUAUACACACUUACCAGGGAGUAAGCCCCACUGAACUCAAUGGGACUUUUCUGAGUAGAUGUGGACAGGAUUGUGCUGUACAUCUCAAUGGGACAAUCCAACUAUAUUUACCUGGAUUGGGGCCGUCAGUGUUACGGGUGGUAUUUAACCAAGUCCUACACAGAGGAGACCCAUUGAAAGUAAUAAACUUAAGUUGUCAUGUCCAUUAACUUCAAUGAGUCUACUCUGAAUAAGACUAGCAUUGUCUACCACUUUAUGUAGUUACAUGCCUAUUAAAAAAAACUUUAAAGGCUUUAUUGCCAAUGCAGUAUAUUAAAGAGCAUAUUGGACUAGGAUCCAGAGUAUUCAGCAUUCAAAUCCACUCUUGGAUAUAAAGCUUAUUGGGUGAUGUUCAACCAAUCCCUAUCUUUCAGCUUAACCUAUCUUACAGGGUGCUUGAGAGAAUAAAAUGAGCAGGGCGUCUGU